rnacentral:rRNA from 1 species
AGUGAACGCUGGCGGUAGGCCUAACACAUGCAAGUCGAACGGCAGCACAGUAAGAGCUUGCUCUUACGGGUGGCGGGUGGCGGACGGGUGAGGAAUACAACGGACUCUACUUUUUCGUGGGGGAUAACGUAGGGAAACUUACGCUAAUACCGCAUCCGACCUCCGGGUGAAAGCAGGGGAUCUUCGGAACUUGCGCGAGUGAAUGAGCCGAUGUCGGAUUCGCUAGUUGGCGGGGAAAAGGCCAACAAAGGCUACGAUCCGUAGCUGGUCUGAGAGGAUGAUCCGGCACCCUGGAACUGAGACACGGUCCAGACUCCUACGGGAGGCAGCAGUGGGGAAUAUUGGACAAAGGGGGCGAGCCUGAUCCAGCCAUACCGCGUGGGUGAAGAAGGCCUUCGGGUUCUAAAGCCCUUUUGUUGGGAAAGAAAAGCAGCAGGUUAAUACCCCGCUGUUCUGACGGUACCCAAAGAAUAAGCACCGGCUAACUUCGUG